rnacentral:rRNA from 1 species
GUAGGGAAUCUUCCACAAUGGACGCAAGUCUGAUGGAGCAACGCCGCGUGAGUGAAGAAGGGUUUCGGCUCGUAAAGCUCUGUUGUUGGUGAAGAAGGACAGGGGUAGUAACUGACCUUUGUUUGACGGUAAUCAAUUAGAAAGUCACGGCUAACUACGUGCCAGCAGCCGCGGUAAUACGUAGGUGGCAAGCGUUGUCCGGAUUUAUUGGGCGUAAAGCGAGUGCAGGCGGCUCGAUAAGUCUGAUGUGAAAGCCUUCGGCUCAACCGGAGAAUUGCAUCAGAAACUGUCGAGCUUGAGUACAGAAGAGGAGAGUGGAACUCCAUGUGUAGCGGUGAAAUGCGUAGAUAUAUGGAAGAACACCGGUGGCGAAGGCGGCUCUCUGGUCUGUUACUGACGCUGAGGCUCGAAAGCAUGGGUAGCGAACAGG